UGGCAUUAUUCUAAUGGUAUGAUGCUUGCUUUGGGUGCAAGAGGUCCUAAGGUCAAUUCUUUGAAUGCCAU
rnacentral:tRNA from 1 species